UUUGAAAACUGAUUUCCGUCUGCCUGUGUCCUAAUGAUCCAUGUGAAACCUGACCCUUUCUUUGUUUUAACUAUUUACUUAUUUAGAAACGGGAGUUGAGCUGCUCUUCGUCGUCCUGCUUCAGGGUUAUUUUUGGAAAUUUUCAUCCAUGCUUCGGGCUUAUUUUCGGAAAUCUUCCCUCUAAGUGGCUUAAAGUUGUUGUGGUGUACAUCUCUUUUGUUCAACACGUAAGCGCCAUCACGGUCUUCAGUUUCUCAUCUCACACCGUGCGCUCUCUCUCUCUUUCUCUCCUCUUUUUCUCUCUUUAGAUUCUUUGGGUAUAGAUCUCUCUAUUCCACUUCGUUUUCUCCCUAAGUUUGGAAUUAAAGAUGCAUAUUAUGGGCUGUUGAUUUUGUUCCUGGGUUUCUUUUGGUAUUCGAGAGGUCUGGUUGAUUUGAACCCAAGACGAAGUUGCUUCCACUAUAACUCUUCACAACAAAGCAAGACUGGAGAAGAUGACCAUUUGUGAUUGGCUAUUUGCCGCGUCUAUCAGGUGUUGGGGUGUACUUUGCUUUGUCAAACACGUGGAUUGGAGUCAGUGCUGGAUAUGUAUCUUCAAAGAGCGACGAGUGUAGGUCUGGUAAAACGUGGCUGCCAACGAAGUUGGACUCACUGUUUGUCUGCUCAUCCUCUUCCUCACUCUGUUUUGCGCAGUUCGAUUUUCUUUUUAUGGCUGCUGGGUGAUUUAUUUCUCUUACUCAUGUUGUUCCCCGUGUUGGCGCUGCUGAAACGUAAAAUUACGAGUUCUGUUGAGAAGGAGACUUGCUUUUGUUGGAAUGUCAUGUUCGUUUGGCUACUCGGCAUUUUAGUUCUACGAAGAUUCUAUGUCAUCCUCAACUUGUAGGUACUCUACUCGAGCUCUCAAAGGGCGAGGGAUGAAUCACUACUUUAAGCAAUUCAACUUUGCUCAUGGAAGCUUAGAUAUUAUAGUUGUGGAUACAUGAUUGUAUGAGGUUACUUCAAAUGAUGCUGGAGAUAGGCAAUCACAAUUGCUGAAAGACAUUUGAAAAUAGUGAAAGCAAAUGGUGCAUUGCUGUCGGAAUUCAUCUAUUGGUAGGUUGCGAAGAAGAUACUACUCUAACGGAACUAAAACACAAAUUACAGUCUUUACAUGGCGUAUUCCUGAAAUAUGGAGUGGUAAGUCAAAGUAUUAAUGCUAAUAGCCCAUAUCUCCAAGAACCUAAGGAAUACCUAAUACCAGCUGCCAUUUUCAUCUGCAAAUCUGUUUCUCAAUAUCCACAAAAUCUAAACAUAUCCCAAAGGCUUUGAUUUUGUAGGAAGAGCACAACACAUGGUGUACAUUAGGUGUACGUCACGGGUUCGAAUCUUGCUGAAGAUAAAAGCUCGGAUUUUAAGGGGAAAAGGGUAGAGGGACAUGGACAUUAUCUAAUGAGGUUCGAGCCGUGCGCCACUGACCAUCGGGAAUUUCUUAUUUAUAAAAGAAAUUUAAAAUUAGUGAGAUUUUAUCUCUUACUUGGGAAAUUGUGGUCAAGCCCUCCCUUUAUUUCUCGGAAUCUAGCGGGCAGCAAGAAUUAGAAUCAACCUAUAUAAUAUCUGUUCCCAUGUAGUCGGCAUUCUAGAAGCAAUCAGACAAGUUGGAGUUCUUACCUUCUUGGGACUCCAUGGACCAAGAUCUGCUUUUAUUAUAUGGUCAAUACCGAUCUACUUUAGUAGAUCAUAUGGAUGUAGAAAAAGCUUCUAAUUUUGGUUUUGCUUUUUCCUAUUUAGGAUGCAUAUAUAUAAGUGGACAUGAUUGUGUUGAUAAUGUUGAGAAAAGACCUAUUGCAAAAUCCAAAACUGAAACUGUCAGAUAUAAAGGACCUUUGCUGACUAAAGUGAAUCAGAACUUGCCCUACUCUAUGUGAGUAUUUCUCUUGAUAUUCAGUAGACUUUUGAGACUAAGUCUACCCUUUUUACUAUCAUUGUAUACAUAUUCUUUUCAUUAUUGGUUUUCUUGGGCAAAAUGUAACUGGGUUUAUACUUCACGAAGUCAGUGCUAUAAAGAUCGUGAGUAUCUUGCAUCUAGUUCAAUAUUUUACAUAAGCACCUUAUAUUAUGCUGUUGAUGUUAUAACAAUUAGUAUUUCUAGCAGGUAUCCUACUUAGUCACCUUGAAAGGUAAUGUUAUGCAGAAAAUUUUUCUCCAUCAAAGAGGCAAAGAGAUUAUGUAGAUAUACCGGGAAUAUUGAUGUUUGUAUUUGUUAUUGUCAUGAGGAGUGAAUAGAGAUCCAAUCAAUUAUUGGUGAUGAAUCCAACUUUUUUCCCUUCUUUGGAGUAAGGGAGGGGGGAUGGGGCGGGAGGGGAAGAGAAGGGACCAAAAAAGUGAAUUCAUUCGUGAUAGUUGUAGUAGUAAUCAUUUGAUCUGACUAAUAAAACUUUUUGAUUUUAAUCAAU